UCAGAACUUAAAUAUUACCAUGAUGACUUCAGCAGGGAAAAAUGAGAUUAAUUUGAGUUCCAUGUCAUUAUUUUUCGGUCCUCUAUGACCACCCAGAUGUUUGAAAUUGAUCAUCACUGACAGUUUCAACAUUUGGUCUAGCAAUUCCUUAGAAAUCCAAGGUUCCUGGUGGGAAGAGUCACAUCUAAUCUCAAGAAGCUUUUCUUUUGUAGGAUGCUACAUCAUUCUCAGAUGGGUAUGUUUUCCUCAUUUGACUAGCUACUAAUUGUGUCCAUUCUUCUAACCAAUUGCUGAAC
rnacentral:lncRNA from 1 species